GACGAACGCUGGCGGCGUGCUUAACACAUGCAAGUCGAACGGAAAGGCCCCUUUGGGGGUACUCGAGUGGCGAACGGGUGCGUAACACGUGAGUAACCUGCCCUUGACUUCGGGAUAACUUCAGGAAACUGGGGCUAAUACCGGAUAGGAAUCCUUGCUGCAUGGUGGGGGUUGGAAAGCUUCGGCGGUUUUGGAUGGACUCGCGGCUUAUCAGCUUGUUGGUGGGGUAGUGGCUUACCAAGGCUUUGACGGGUAGCCGGCCUGAGAGGGCGACCGGCCACAGUGGGACUGAGAUACGGCCCAGACUCCUACGGGAGGCAGCGGUGGGGAAUAUUGCACAAUGGGCGGAAGCCUGAUGCAGCAACGCCGCGUGCGGGAUGACGGCCUUCGGGUUGUAAACCGCUUUCAGCAGGGGCGAAGCUUGUGGUGACGGUACCUGCAGAAGAAGCACCGGCUAACUACGUG
rnacentral:rRNA from 1 species